UACGUAGGGGGCGAGCGUUGUCCGGAAUUAUUGGGCGUAAAGAGCGUGUAGGCGGUUCGGUAAGUCUGCCGUGAAAACCUGGGGCUCAACCCCGGCGUGCGGUGGAUACUGCCGGGCUAGAGGGUGGUAGAGGCGAGUGGAAUUCCCGGUGUAGCGGUGAAAUGCGCAGAUAUCGGGAGGAACACCAGUAGCGAAGGCGGCUCGCUGGGCCACACCUGACGCUGAGACGCGAAAGCUAGGGGAGCGAACAGG
rnacentral:rRNA from 1 species